rnacentral:rRNA from 1 species
AUUAGAGUUUGAUCCUGGCUCAGAUUGAACGCUGGCGGCAUGCCUUACACAUGCAAGUCGAACGGCAGCACGGGAGCAAUCCUGGUGGCGAGUGGCGAACGGGUGAGUAAUAUAUCGGAACGUGCCCAGUCGUGGGGGAUAACGUAGCGAAAGCUACGCUAAUACCGCAUACGAUCUACGGAUGAAAGCGGGGGACUCGUAAGGGCCUCGCGCGAUUGGAGCGGCCGAUAUCAGAUUAGGUUGUUGGUGAGGUAAAAGCUCACCAAGCCUGCGAUCUGUAGCUGGUCUGAGAGGACGACCAGCCACACUGGAACUGAGACACGGUCCAGACUCCUACGGGAGGCAGCAGUGGGGAAUUUUGGACAAUGGACGCAAGUCUGAUCCAGCAAUGCCGCGUGCAGGACGAAGGCCUUCGGGUUGUAAACUGCUUUUGUACGGAACGAAACGGUCUGCUUUAAUACAGUGGGCUAAUGACGGUACCGUAAGAAUAAGCACCGGCUAACUACGUGCCAGCAGCCGCGGUAAUACGUAGGGUGCGAGCGUUAAUCGGAAUUACUGGGCGUAAAGCGUGCGCAGGCGGUUAUAUAAGUCAGAUGUGAAAUCCCCGGGCUCAACCUGGGACCUGCAUUUGAGACUGUAUAGCUAGAGUACGGUAGAGGGGGAUGGAAUUCCGCGUGUAGCAGUGAAAUGCGUAGAUAUGCGGAGGAACACCGAUGGCGAAGGCAAUCCCCUGGACCUGUACUGACGCUCAUGCACGAAAGCGUGGGGAGCAAACAGGAUUAGAUACCCUGGUAGAAUCACUAGUGAAUUC